rnacentral:lncRNA from 1 species
CUCCUCCUGCUCUUCGCCUUCCCCAGCUCAACCGCCCGCGCCGCCCGGCUGCUCCUCCUUCCUCCCCGGGGUGUCGCAGCGAUGUUUAACCGCGCUGUGAGCCGGCUGAGCAGGAAGCGGCCGCCGUCAGAUAUCCACGACAGUGAUGGGAGUGCCAGCAGCAGCCACCAGAACCCCAAGAGCACAGCCAAGUGGGCGGCUUCUUUGGAGAAUCUACUUGAAGACCCAGAAGGCGUGAAAAGAUUUAGGGUUUGCAUUUUUGUUGUUGUUGUUGACUGGGAUUGAUGCAACACACCAAGCGGUUUCAGAGCCUGUGGGGGAAACCCAGGCCAGCUUUUAACACUGCGUGUCCCCACUUGAGAAUGAGACCGGCGCACCUGUCAUGCCCAAGAUGGAAACGCUUUCCCGCACAGUUCUUAUACAGCUGGCUGGGAGGGGUAGAGAUGCCGGGGACGCGGUUCCAUGCUUGUUGACAAAGCGUUUCCAGCUCUGUGACACCUGGAAGGGGGUGGCCUGGGUUUCUGUGAUGUGAAGGUUUGUUCUCUUGUGUGUUGGGGAUUUUCAGGAUAUAUUAGUGACAGUGAAAGAGGCCGGAUGACAGCUGGCAAGGUGAAGUUGAACUCAGAGGAGGGCAGGUGGAUGACAAGGUCAGUGCUGCCUAGAAAGGGUCUGCAGAAACCCCAGGUGUCAGAAGAACCACAUGUGAAUGUCAAGAAUGCCUUUUAUCUGCCCGACUCCCACUGACGUCUGUCUUUAAGCCUUGGGUCAGGCCAGGAUAAGCUCUCGUGCUGUUGCUCCCUGUUGCAGAUUCCAAGGAGGGGGUAGCAGGCAGGGCUACUCACAGUUCUGGACAGAGGACCCCAGUGAGCACCAUCUGGAUCUCGAGGAGAAAACUUUUCCAUGCAUAGCCAGAGAGCUGGCUGUGCCAACAAGCCCCCCAACAUCUGCCAGAGGAAAGCACACCUCCAACUUCAGAUAGUUUUCAUCAUGGCAUUUCUAGACAUGCUUAAUAUGUUUUCUUUUGUUUAAAAAAAGGGGGGGCCUAAAUUUAGAGGAAUGUACUUUGUUUAAACACUGUCUAGAAGGAAUGAAUAGAUCUUCCACUUUAAUUUACUUUCUGGUAAUUUAUUGUCAGUUGAGAAUUGUAAGUAGAUUCCUGCUUUCUUACUCUUCUUCACAAUGUCAAAGUCAUUAAGUUCAAAUGCACGUGGAAUUCCAUCUGUAACAUUAAACAUACAUGGGGUUUUUCAGGGCGGAGAUUGAUCAGUUAUUGAAUUUUGACAUAUCUGUUCUUAAAGGGAAAUGCUUUGUUUUUGAAGUAGAAUACUGUUUGACAUUUUUCUUCUUUUCAUCCAUAGGAGUUUUUAAAAAAAGAAUUCAGUGAAGAGAAUGUUUUGUUUUGGCUAGCCUGUGAAGAUUUUAAGAAAACACAAGAUAAAAAGCAGAUGCAGGAAAAGGCAAAGGAGAUAUACAUGACCUUUCUGUCCAGCAAGGCCUCAUCACAAGUCAAUGUUGAGGGCCAGUCCCGGCUCAAUGAGAAGAUUCUGGAGGAACCACACCCACUGAUGUUCCAAAAACUCCAGGACCAGGUAAUCUGACUUCCCUACUUAGACCUUGAUUUGAAAACUGACAUCCCCCCCCCGACCCCACCCCAAGUCUGGAAGAAUUCAGUUAAGACUAAACGUUAGACACCCGUCUCUUCCAGAUGGACAGGCUGAGGCCCGUGGAGGGUCUGUGGUUGGUGACAGACAGAUACUGACUUGCCAGGCCCAGGAACUGGCCCGGAGGAGCCUCCCUCAGGCCUCUUUCUGUCUACACACAGUUUGACCCAGCAGGGUUAUCUGGCUUCUCAGCCAGCUUAGAAGGGAGGCUGGAGUUAGUUGAGGAACCCACAGAGGAAGCAACACGUGAUAUAACUGAAGGUAGGAGCAGCCAGAGAAAUCUAGCAAACAAGCACACAGACUCGAAGUGGCAGGGAACCUAAGGUUGCUGUGCUAAUGCCCAAAUAUUGCCACCUGCUUCUGAUGGCUCAGGAGCCCACUUUGCCAACAUAAAUGCACUUAAAGCAGGAAAAGUUAGAUUUCAAGAAAGGACCUAUAAGGGGUAAACUUUAGUUUUCUGGCAAAUUUUCAUAGGAGGAAUGCCAGAAGUAAGAUAGGCAAAAGGGAUGAAAUUGUACUGCAGAGGUUUUUGUUUUUGACAUGAAUUUGCAAAUGUGACUAUUCAUAGCAUACUCUGUUCUUAGGAAAUGGUAUGUACACACUUGCAGAGCAUGGAACACUGGCAGAUUUCAACCUUCUGCCAGCCCUGUUCUUACUGGGGAAGCCAAGGCCUUAUUUGGCACACAGGUGGAGACUAGCUCUUAGCUUAAUUCAGCCCUCCUCCAACAUGAACAAGCCCAGAGCCACCUGGAGGGUUUUGUUUUGUUUUUUGCACUUUUUAGGGCUGCACUCGUGGCAUAUGGAGAUUCCCACGCUAGGGGUCGAAAUGGAGCUACAGCCACCACCUACACCACAGCCCCAGCCACGCAGGAUCCAAGCUGUGUCUGUGACCUACACCACAGCUCAUGACAACACCAGAUCCUUAACCCACGGAGCGAGGCCAGGGAUCGAACCCACAUCCUCAUGGAUCCUAGUUGGGUUCGUGAACUGCAGAGCCAUGAAGGGAACUCCUGGAGGGCUUGUUAAAACAGAGGCUGGACUCCAGCCCCAGAGUUAAUCAGCAGGCUUGAUGGUUCCCAGGUGGGUCGAGAUGUUGUCUUCCCAACAAGUUCCCAGGUGACUCUUAUGCUGCAGGUCCCAGGACUACACAUUAAGAAACCACUGGCCCAUUGCAUCGUUUGGCGUUUUUUGAUCACCUGGAGUGGGCACUGAGCCCAGGACAUAUCCCAACAUCCAGCAGGCCUCACUUGCUCAGCAACAGAUAGAAAACAAGACAGGUAGCAAAUACAAGUAUGAGAAGUAGCUGGGGACUGUUUUCCAAUUGAUACGGUGGCAAGCGCAAAUUCCGCAUGAAUUCUGAAUCAAGUUUGGGGGUUGAAUGGACGCCAGUUAACAUGGAAAACUUGCUGAGGGCUUCCUGGAGGUGGUGAUUUUGAGCCAGCGAGAGGGGUGCUGUGGACAUGGAUUUGUGGAGGGGAAGGGAAGUGGGAGGAAUGAUUCAAGGCAGUUCCUGGGCUGUAACCGCACGGGGAUCCACCCUACCUGGACCUCUGAUUUGCUCCCCGGCUUCUUAGGGCACUUUGACAUGCAGCCAGGGCUGAGAACUGCACUGACACUCCUGUGUUCUAGGUAUUCUCAGUAAGAGCAGUAUCUACCUUUCAGAGGUGCCCUUCUGUGCCCGGCCCCCUUGGCAUCUGUACUAUCACAUUUACACUCCAGUGAGCAGUGGCAUUCCCAUUUUGAUGGGGAGGAAAGCUGGGGUCAAGGGCACAAGUGGUUUGUUAGCACAAAGUCCCGCUGGUAUAGGAAGUGCUGGUGGCUGUCAUGCCUGCUUUCAAAGACUACACUGUGUCCCCCACAGCCUGAGCAGCUGCCCUGGGCUCCAAGACAGCCCCACACUGCUCCUCAAAGCCCCCUGAGAUCUGCUGGAGCAGGGGGAUUGGAAAGCCAUGGUUGUAUAUGGUUCUUUUCUGGGACUGCAGAAGCCACCUGGGGUGGCGAGGAGUGGGACGGGCUCCUGCCAUUCCAUGUGCAAGACCACGGGCUCCGGAGGACCUGGCUCUCCUGCCGUUAAGGCUUGUGACACGUCUCAAAAUCCAAAGGCCUGGCUGUCCUGCCGUUAGGCCAGCUGGGUCUCUGUGACCUGGGCACCCUCACUGGAUUGAGACGUGGAAGGUUUAGUGUUAUAUAAAAAGGAGGAAAUAAGGGACAGAGGAUGUUUCCUUAAAGUGACAAAAAUAUUUUAAAAAUAAUUUUUAUUAAAAAAGACUUGUUGGGGUUCCUUGGUGGCCUAGCGGUUAAAGGAGCUGGUGCUGUCACUACUGUGGUGGAGGUUGAUACCAGGCCCCAGAAACUUCUGCACGCUCUGGGUACGGCCCCAAAAAAACAGACCCCAAAACUUAUCUACUUAACUGGAAAAAUCAUACAGGCUUGGCAAAAGAAACUUGGGAAACCAAAAUGUAAAGAUGAAAACAAUUUCAUUCCAUUCCUGUUGAUGUCUAGGCUUUCCAUCUUUUUUCUACGAAUAUGCAUGUGCACACACAUCUAACACGUGUGGCACAAGAGUUCCUUCAAACUACUCUCUGUAAAAAAAAAAAAA